AAAUUGAAGAGUUUGAUCAUGGCUCAGAUUGAACGCUGGCGGCAGGCCUAACACAUGCAAGUCGAACGGUAACAGGAAGAAGCUUGCUUCUUUGCUGACGAGUGGCGGACGGGUGAGUAAUGUCUGGGAAACUGCCUGGUGGAGGGGGAUAACUACUGGAAACGGUAGCUAAUACCGCAUAACGUCGCAAGACCAAAGAGGGGGACCUUCGGGCCUCUUGCCAUCGGAUGUGCCCAGAUGGGAUUAGCUAGUAGGUGGGGUAACGG
rnacentral:rRNA from 1 species